UCAUUCGAAGAAAAUGGGACUUUCUCCCCUGAGCUUGCGCCCCUUCCCUUUGGUCAUUCUGGUGGACUUGCCCAAAGAAAACGAUAAUUUGCUCUACUCAAAGCAUGAUAUAAACGACCCUUGUUUACUAGUAAAUUGAUGCAGGUGGAACUAAUUUAAACCUAAAGGCUAAGCUGAAACCGCAGACUUCUGUUCUCAGAUCUGGCGGCUCUAGAGGAAGACUUCAGAGGUCGGGGGCACCGUCUUCUGUUUUUAAAGCUGUCCUUUGGGACGCACGAGACAGAAAUUGAAGAAGAAAAACAUUCCGUAGUCUGGGUGGCUGCAUCGACAGAAAGAUUUCCCUGAUACAUAUGCAGGAGUGGAAUGGAUCUUACAUUUUUUGCAGCAAAUGUGUACUGAUCCAAUCAGUGGCCUUCACUGAUGGAACUCGGAAGCUUCUGGAAGUGGGAAGAGCUGCACCAUUGUUGGCUAAAACAUCUGCUUGCUCUGGCAGCCCUGUCUCUGUGGGGUUGCAGGCUGGAGCUGCCCGGCCUCAUCUGGGGGAGCACCACAUCCUUUCAGGCUCACCAGAGCUCAGCCCUUAGCCUGACGAGGGCAGGAUAACGUCUUCCCAAGACAGAACAAGAUGGAGGCAGAGAAAAGUCAGGGGAGCCUCACCCAGCCUCCUCGGAGCCUCACGAUGGGCUUUCCCCCACUUCCCAUGUUUAUGUCCCUCACCCCACUCUGCUUCUACAGGAGACUAGUCUGACCCACCUGGCAUUUAUCCUCUGCCUGGGAGGCUAAAGGAGGGCAGCUUCCCGAGUCAGUCUCAUGUUGAUUGCUGAGCUGGCUGUGAUGGAUUCAACACAACCCCUGGUGCUAGGAGUCCCAGGGCCCCAGCUGCCCGCGGAGCCUUCAGCCGUCUCACAAGGGCAGUCUUGGCCAAGUAGCUCCAGGAGCAGGAAUAGCAGAAGCUGCCAUUGCUCGAGUCGUUAACUUGCUGGUUGGUGUGGAGCCAGGCAGUGGGGCUGUACAGAGUGGAGUCAAGAACAGGCUCUGGGAGUCCAUGAUAUCUUGGUUCGAGCCCCAGUCUUAGCACCGACAUGGGCACGAUCUUAGGCAGGUAUUUCUCCUUCUUGAGAUUCAAUAUCCAAUCUCCCAAGCUUGCGGGGAGUUGAACUGAGAAUGCAUGUGAAAUGCUUAACUCUACAGCACCUGGCGGGCUUCCCCUGGCUCAGUGGUAAAGAAUCCGUCUGCCAAUGCAGGAGACAUGAGUUUGACUCCUGGGUCAGGAAGAGCCCCUGGAGAAGGAAAUGGCAGCCCACUCCAGUAAUCUUGCCUGGGAGAGCCCGUGGACAGAGGAGCCUGGCGGGCUACAGUCCACGGGGUCGCAAAAGAACUGGACACAACUUAGAGAUUAACAGCAGCAACAGCGCCAGCAGCUGGCCAGACAUCUCAACGGCCUCUCUGGCACUGACCCAAGAGUUUAUCGCCUGCACAUCACUGACGAGGAAACAGGUUCAGAGAGGCAGAGUCUUAGGGUGAGCCUCUGUGAAGGGGCAGAGCCAAUGACUCAGCUCCUGAAACUCAGCAUCAGGUAACGAAAAGGCGACCCAGAAGGUUCUCCAGCGUGGAGCCCGCCGGCUUCUCUAAGAAGCUGGAAUUCAUUUGAUUACAAGACUAAUGCAUAUUCAUCAAGGAUAAUUUCGAAAAUGCAGUUUGCCAAACGAAGAAAAUAAAACUCACUAGCAUUCUCACCACCACU